rnacentral:rRNA from 1 species
GCAAGUCGAGGGGUAACAGGGAAGCUUGCUUCCGCUGACGACCGGCGCACGGGUGAGUAACGCGUAUACAAUCUACCUUCGAGUGGGGGAUAGCCUUUGGAAACGAAGAUUAAUACCCCAUACCGUGGUGAAUCCGCAUGGUUUUAUCACGAAAGUUCCGACGCUUGAAGAUGAGUGUGCGUCCCAUUAGCUAGUUGGUGAGGUAACGGCUUACCAAGGCGAUGAUGGGUAGGGGGCGUGAGAGCGUGACC